GAUGAACGCUGGCGGCGUGCCUAAUACAUGCAAGUCGAGCGAACGGACGAGAAGCUUGCUUCUCUGAUGUUAGCGGCGGACGGGUGAGUAACACGUGGAUAACCUACCUAUAAGACUGGGAUAACUUCGGGAAACCGGAGCUAAUACCGGAUAAUAUUUUGAACCGCAUGGUUCAAAAGUGAAAGACGGUCUUGCUGUCACUUAUAGAUGGAUCCGCUCUGCAUUAGCUAGUUGGUAAGGUAACGGCUUACCAAGGCAACGAUGCAUAGCCGACCUGAGAGGGUGAUCGGCCACACUGGAACUGAGACACGGUCCAGACUCCUACGGGAGGCAGCAGUAGGGAAUCUUCCGCAAAGGGCGAAAGCCUGACGGAGCAACGCCGCGUGAGUGAUGAAGGUCUUCGGAUCGUAAAACUCUGUUAUUAGGGAAGAGCAUAUGUGUAAGUAACUGUGCACAUCUUGACGGUACCUAAUCAGAAAGCCACGGCUAACUACGUG
rnacentral:rRNA from 1 species